AGUUUGAUCCUGGCUCAGGAUGAACGCUAGCUACAGGCUUAACACAUGCAAGUCGAGGGGCAGCAUCAUCAAAGCUUGCUUUGAUGGAUGGCGACCGGCGCACGGGUGAGUAACACGUAUCCAACCUGCCGACAACACUGGGAUAGCCUUUCGAAAGAAAGAUUAAUACCGGAUGGCAUAGUUUUCCCGCAUGGGAUAAUUAUUAAAGAAUUUCGGUUGUCGAUGGGGAUGCGUUCCAUUAGGCAGUUGGCGGGGUAACGGCCCACCAAACCAACGAUGGAUAGGGGUUCUGAGAGGAAGGUCCCCCACAUUGGAACUGAGACACGGUCCAAAUCCUACGGGAGGCAGCAGUGAGGAAUAUUGGUCAAUGGACGAGAGUCUGAACCAGCCAAGUAGCGUGAAGGAUGACUGCCCUAUGGGUUGUAAACUUCUUUUAUACGGGAAUAAAGUGAGCCACGUGUGGCUUUUUGUAUGUACCGUAUGAAUAAGGAUCGGCUAACUCCGUGCCAGCAGCCGCGGUAAUACGGAGGAUCCGAGCGUUAUCCGGAUUUAUUGGGUUUAAAGGGAGCGUAGGCGGGUUGUUAAGUCAGUUGUGAAAGUUUGCGGCUCAACCGUAAAAUUGCAGUUGAUACUGGGCGACCUUGAGUGCAACAGAGGUAGGCGGAAUUCGUGGUGUAGCGGUGAAAUGCUUAGAUAUCACGAAGAACUCCGAUUGCGAAGGCAGCUUACUGGAUUGUAACUGACGCUGAUGCUCGAAAGUGUGGGUAUCAAACAGGAUUAGAUACCCUGGUAGUCCACACAGUAAACGAUGAAUACUCGCUGUUGGCGAUAUACGGUCAGCGGCCAAGCGAAAGCAUUAAGUAUUCCACCUGGGGAGUACGCCGGCAACGGUGAAACUCAAAGGAAUUGACGGGGGCCCGCACAAGCGGAGGAACAUGUGGUUUAAUUCGAUGAUACGCGAGGAACCUUACCCGGGCUUAAAUUGCAACUGACUGGACCGGAAACGGUUCUUUCUUCGGACAGUUGUGAAGGUGCUGCAUGGUUGUCGUCAGCUCGUGCCGUGAGGUGUCGGCUUAAGUGCCAUAACGAGCGCAACCCUUAUCGAUAGUUACUAGCAGGUCAUGCUGAGGACUCUAUUGAGACUGCCGUCGUAAGAUGUGAGG
rnacentral:rRNA from 1 species